rnacentral:rRNA from 1 species
GUGGAGAGUUUGAUCCUGGCUCAGAUUGAACGCUGGCGGCAGGCCUAACACAUGCAAGUCGAGCGCUUCCCUUCGGGGAGGAGCGGCGGACGGGUGAGUAACGCGUGGGAACGUACCCUUUUCUGCGGAAUAGCCACUGGAAACGGUGAGUAAUACCGCAUACGCCCUUCGGGGGAAAGCGGGGGAUCUUCGGACCUCGCGCCAUUAGAUGAGCUUAGGUCAGAUUAGCUUGUUGGUGAGGUAAUGGCUCACCAAGGCAACGAUCUGUAGCUGGUCUGAGAGGAUGAUCAGCCACACUGGAACUGAGACACGGUCCAGACUCCUACGGGAGGCAGCAGUAGGGAAUAUUGCACAAUGGAGGAAACUCUGAUGCAGCCAUGCCGCGUGUGUGAAGAAGGCCUUAGGGUUGUAAAGCACUUUCAGUAAGGAAGAAAAAGCAGGGUUAAUACCCCUGUCUUAUGACAUUACUUACAGAAGAAGCACCGGCUAACUCCGUGCCAGCAGCCGCGGUAAUACG